CCCUCUGGAGGUGUUUCCUGCUGGACUUCUAAUCCAGAGGUUCCGGGUUCGAGUCCCGGCAGAGAUG
rfam:Manacus vitellinus contig15669, whole genome shotgun sequence.